rnacentral:misc_RNA from 1 species
AUUCAGUCAGCAACAGA